GCCAAUGUGGUAUAGCGGUUGGAGUGUUAGACUGUGAUUCUGGAGACCAGGGUUUGAUUCCCAGCUUGGCCA
rnacentral:tRNA from 1 species